UUAUUAGACUGCAGCCAUCCUGAUGGAACCACCUUCAGGAAUUUUAGUCGGAAUAAUUUACUCCAUGAUGAAAAUUGAUGCCAAAGAUUGUACAAUUUGAUCUCAACUCAGCACUUGACUAUUCUGCAGAGACCAGAAUAAGUGGAAAUCCGAAGGAGCAAUAUCUGGUGAAUAUGGACAGGGGAGUAACACAUCCCACCCGAGCUCCAGCAAUUUUUGUCUGGUUCCCAAAGCAUCAAGUGCUGAAAAUGAACUUUCUUAUCUUCUAUUUUAAAGGGUUACAGAAUUAACACAGGUUAUAGGAACAUAAACCUUCUUCCACGAA